rnacentral:sRNA from 1 species
AUGUUGGUUUAAUUUAGGCCUCUCAGGAUGAGGGCUCCCUGUGCUUGCGUUCAUACAACAAACAAUCAUCAAGUUUAAGGCAGUUAAGGAGCAGUGGCAUUAUUAUAAGGUUACAAAGUCAAUAUAGUGGAGCAGCCUUCACCACUGUCUGCUUUUUGUAGCUGCAAGAUACCCUGGUGCAGAAGGAAGAAGAACUCGCCAGGUUACACGAAGAGAAUAAUCACCUCAGACAAUACCUGAAUUCUGCUUUGGUUAAAUGUCUUGAAGAAAAGGCCAAGAAAUUGCUCUCAUCUGAUGAGUUCUCCAAAGCAUGUGGAAAAUUCAGGAAGGGGAAGAGAAAAUCCAAAGAGCAAAGAUACUCUCCUGCUGAGAUUCCCCAUCCCAAAAAUGCCAAAAGAAACCUCUCUAGUGAAUUUGCUAACUGUGAAGAACAAGCUGGGCCCCCUGUGGAUCCCUGGGUCCUUCAAACACUUGGGUUAAAAGACCUUGACACUAUCGAUGACACCUCAUCAGCUAACUACAGUGCCCUCGCAUCUCAUCCCAGAAGAGUCGCCAGCACAUUUUCCCAGUUUCCGGAUGAUGCAGUUGAUUAUAAAAAUAUCCCCGGAGAGGAUAUGCCAAUUGACUAUAGAGGUGACAGAACAACCCCCUUGUACAGCACUGCCACUCAUGGAGAAGAUUUCCACAUCCUUUCUCAACUUUCAAAUCCCCCAGUGGGGCUGAAAACUCUUCCUUACUAUACUGCUAAUGUGUCACCCAACAAGACAGAGAUGGCAUUUUCCACAUCCCUGAGCCCUCAUUGUAAUGUGAAAACUCAUUCCUUCCACCAGGGACAAGCCUUUGUGCGUCGAGAUGAGGAGGGAGGCUGGAAGUUUACCUGGGUCCCUAAGCAGUCUUAGUGACCCCUCUUUUAUCACAAAGCACUGCCAUGAACUCUGUUUACAAAGACCUCUCUUGCACUUGAAUUUGACUAUGUGGAACACAGAAGCUGUUGCUUAGACUGUCUCCUGCCACUUUAAAUGUCACUCUUAAUUACCCACUUAAAUCUGCAGGGAAUGGCUUCCAAGAAUCCAUAAUGAAACAUGUCCGCGCUUCUUUCACCUAAAUUUGACUUGUUUACACACCAAUACCUGCUAUUGAUGUCCUCUCUUUGCCCUAUACUUGAUAAGGUAUUUUCCACUUACUUCUAUAUUCCUUUAAGACCUAGAUACAUUUUUCCAAUUUUAACCAGUUUAACAGAUUUUCCUCUUUUAAGUAGUUGAAAUAUUCACAGCCCUUUUACUUUUCUCCCUUUGUCAUUUCUGAAAACUGCCUUUAGAAUGAGCCCUAUUUUUGCUUCAAGUACUUGCUACUGCAUGUUCAAAUAGCUGAGGGUGGGGUUGAAACAAGUGUCUUUGCCCAUCACCACUACUCCUGAAGACAUAAUGUGGAUGUGUGUAGCAUUAUGUUCAUGGCAGUUCAAAAAGUUCAGUGCCCCAUAGUGGCAUUGAAAAAGCCUCUUAAAACAACUGUAACUCCACUAAUAAUCAAUAUCACAGAUAAACUUUAAAAUUACAAAGAAUUUAAAUUAUUUUUAAAUGCCUCAUGAUGUAUCAGCUUCUAUAUGUACCCAGCAUCAUUUCUUUAACCAACAUGACUCCAAGAAGAACAUUUUGAGGGACUGUGGUAACAAAACUAGUCAUCAUCUGCAACUACCCAGAUGCUGACAAACUCCUAUUGCUGAAAAUAGACUAACCUAGCUCAGCCAUUGUCUCAUUCAUUCAUUCAUUCAUUCGCAUAUUCAUUUUUUCAUUGAUCAGUCCACCCAAGAUAUCUGUAGAAUACCUAAUGCCUACUUUGUUCCAGGCACUAUGCUAUGUGAUGGUGAUAAAAUACAAGCAAUUUAGACACUGUGGCCACCAUCAUGAGACUUAGACCUACUCAUCUGCUAUGACUUUGCGAAAACGACUUCCCUUUUGUGAAGGUUCAGUUUCCCAACUGUAGAAUACAGAAGUUGGACUAGAUAAUUACUAAUAUUCUAUGAAUUGAGGCUGGGUCCUAUCAGAUUUACUCCAACAUGGCAGUUUCAGGUCACCGAAGAAACUAAAGAGAAGUCUUUAGAUAGGCACUGCAAGUAUUAGGUAGGGUAAACUUUAUGUACAAUUAAUAAAAUUCAAAAACAUAAGUCAUUUGAAGUUAACAUUAGAAAUCAUUGCUCUGAUCACAGUACUCUUUUUCUAGAGCCCAUUUUGCAGUUAACUCAGCGUAACUGUGUAAGAAUAAUUUGCCUCUAAAAAUAGAUACAUAUUAAUUUUUAAAUAAAUGCGGAUAGAUUGCAUAUAAAUAUUGCUAUCAAGGACUUCAUAUUUCUAAAUUUGAAACAAUAUAUUUUCAGUGCUUGUGCUAAUUUUCUUCUUUCCCAUCUCUCAAGACCCCUAUCAUUCCCAGAAUAAUUUGCACAUCCUGCAUGUGCACCUAUGUUUUUUGGACAAACUUCAAUUAAUGAUGAAAUCUUUCAUGUUGAAACCUGUUCUCAUUUUUCUCUUUUCCACAUCUCAAUAAGUCGUCUUGCACAAUCAAUAUCUCGUAGGUCAACUGUGUUGGUUAGGAUUCUUUGUAACAGAGACAUGCCUUUCAUUGUUGUUUCUGUUUGGUUGUUGCUUUAUUUUGGUGAUGUAAGCAAAAGGUCUGUUUUAUAAAGUUUUGUUGCCACCCACUUUUAAAAAUAAUUUAUGAAGAAAAUCCAAUAUAGUAAUUAAUAUUACUCUCUGGAGUACUUUAAUAAGUAGAACACAUUCCAUCUUCUAAAAAAUAAAAUAAAAUAAAUAACUGUGCCUUUUACAUUCUGGUAUCUGGGCCCCUGGUUGGUGAAAUUUGUCGCUUUUUAGAAUAAGAGAUUUAAGGAUUCGAAUUAUUGUACUUUAUGACACUAGGAAUUGAGAAAGUAAUAUAACUAAUUUUGAAAGUCUAAUAAUCAAGCUGUAAAAGGAAAUGUAUCAGUUAACAAAUAUUUAUUUUGCAUUCUUUAUGUGCCUUAUCAUGUGUUAAGUACCAUGAGGGUACACCCAGGCUUAGCACAAUGCAUUUGGUAUACAAAACCAUGUAAAAUGUCAUAGCUUUUGAUAGCUUUUAAAUGAAACUUAAUUUUGGCCCAGUUUAAAGAUAUUACCGAACAUUUGGGAUAAAAUGUGAUGUUUUCCUGGCUUAUAUCAUGGACGAGAUUAUGGAAGACAAUUACCACGUUUUUGAAAUCAUGUCUAUAAAUAUUUAAUAUCCAUUUAAAUUAUGUAUAGAAAAUUAUUUUGUUCAUGUUUCAGAAAUUAAACAUUUCUUUCACCUGAG